AACCUGCCCAAGAGAUCGGGAUAACACCUGGAAACAGAUGCUAAUACCGGAUAACAACAGAUGAUGCCUAUCAACUGUUUAAAAGAUGGUUCUGCUAUCACUCUUGGAUGGACCUGCGGUGCAUUAGCUAGUUGGUAGGGUAACGGCCUACCAAGGCGAUGAUGCAUAGCCGAGUUGAGAGACUGAUCGGCCACAUUGGGACUGAGACACGGACCCAAACUCCUACGGGAGGCAGCAGGG
rnacentral:rRNA from 1 species